UUGUACCAUAGUGUUAAUAUUACAAAAGCACAAUUAAUGACUAUUGACAAUGCCCUAGGGGCACGUUUGACAUUUUUGGAAAGAAAAAUCUCCCAAAAAUAUUUCAGUAGAUCAACAUCAAAGUCAUAUUAAUAGUUUGAAGAAGAACAAUUCUAUCUAUUAAUUUGCCAAUGGAUAUUGGGAAUUGGAGGCUUAGACUCAUCAGUGUUGUCCGUUCUUUGCUAAAAGUCGUUAGCAAUUGCAAUGGUGUCCAAAGGAAGCAUCUAUUCAAAAAAAAAAAAAGUCAGAGCAUAAAUGGAAAUCUUGCAUCUUGGAAAUGAUUUAUUAAUCGACAAAUGUUGAAUUUUCAAGGCCAGGGGAAGAGGCAGCCAUAAAUUCAUUACGGAAGGGCAAAUGAAAAGAAUAAUCAAAUAAUUUUUUAUUGAUCAUAACUAUCGACUUUUCAAUGUUAGUUGCGGGAAGAAUUAUCAUAGCCAACUACCAUAAAUGCGAACUACCACAAAUGCGGUUUGAUUUUGGCCGAUAAUGACUGAAUUUUCUGGGACUUUGAUUUUACAUCUGUCACACCCCGAUUCACAAGAAGAAGGGCAUGACACGGCCGUCCUUUUUACCAAAGGACGCAGCCUCAACGUGACCAAAAUUCAACCCAAUAUCAACAUAUAUACAUCCAUAUAUAUAUAUAUAUAUAUAUAUAUAUAUAUAUAUAUAUGACAAAAAAGGGGCACUUGAUUAAAAUAUCUAUAUCAGAGUAUAUCUAUAAUCCACAAAAAUCAAAACAUAAACCUUCUACAAUGACUGACUUAUAAACCUAUUAACUAUGCACAAGUCAUACCAAAAAGUUCCACCACAACAGUCCUCCCCGAGCGAACGCUCAUGCCUACUCGCGACUCACUGAAGAACCUGAAAAACAAGUAUAAGAGAGGAGUGAGCUACUACGGCUCAGUGAGUAACACAUUUCUUCUAAGCGGAUCGAGAAAUCACUAUGCACAUUUAAAACAUAACUCAAAUACAUAAUCAUAACUUAAAUACCAAAAUACCAAUGGUCCAGUCCAUUAGUCAAUCUCAUAAAACAUACAUCAAUGGUCUAUUACAUUGAUUACUCUCAUCAAAUCACAUCGAUGGUCCAUUCUAUCGACCAAACUCAAAUCACACGUUAAUGGUCCACUCCAUUGACCAAUUCAUGCUCAAAUGUCUAACCAUGGUCACGCGUAACGCCCGUGACAAGACGACCAAGAUUCCCCCUUGGCAAGGUCUCCACCUAUUAUUAACCGGUGGCUCGGCCCACAAGGAUAUUCUGGAAUAGUAUGCGCAUACCCACACACCCCUCAGGGGCCACAGAGACAUUGAGCACCAACUACCAAUCACAAUAUCCAAUAAUCCAACAUCAUAAAGGAAGUCAUAUCGCAACUCAAAAUUUGAUAUAUAAAUAUCAAAGCAUUCUCCAAAACAUUUCAAGAUUCUUUCACAAAGAACUUCACAAAUCUUUUUUUCGAACAACCAUUCAAAACGAAGUCAGAAUAUAAUUCCCUUCGAACAACAAAAAUGGCAGUAAUAACUCGAUCCUGUUUAAUGCAACAAAAUAUGCUUUUUAUCAACUCAUGGAAUAUAUAAUCCACCACGUUUCUCAAAACAUGAGUUUAAAAUACGAAGAAGAAAUAGUGUCACUCACCUGGGAAAAGCAAAAAAUCAACAACGACGCUCAUACGAACCAAUGCAUUCGGAUUCCUAACAAUUAACAGAAAAAUAAUAUUAAAAGGCCGAGUAAAAAGGAUAUUCUUAUAACGAAUCGCCUAUACUAAGCCUAUUAGUCGAUAAAACAACACCUACGCGCCCCAAAAGCUCACAAUUUAGCGGAAACCCAUCAUUUUCAGCUAGGCGCGGCCCAUGCGCCAACUUCGUCAAGCCAUAACUCCCUCCACAAAAUUCCGUUUCAAGCCGUCUUAUAGUCUUUAGAAAGUUCUCUUAACGUACAACAACAACCCCAACUCACCCGCCCCAAAACAGUACUGAAAACAACAAAAAAAGAGACUUGAAGCCACUGUUCGCUACAGUACCAGAUUGCGCCCCCAACUUCAAAAUUCCGUUCCGAACAAACCGCAAGCUCAAAUUACGAUUCGAAAGAUGCCAUAGCUUCACAACAACCCAAAUUACCAUUUCUAAAAAAAUAUAAAGCUUAAUGACUCAAAAAUCGGGCUUCGCCACACAAAUACCCAAGAAAUCCGAAUUUCAAGCCCUAAUCGCGGCGAUUGCUUCAAGUAAGUGAUUAAAUGCUUCAAUUUCUUACCGGCCUUGCAAAACACCCUUGAGUCAGCUUGAUGAGGCGUCCGGACCACAAGCGCGCCAAAUUUUUUCCCUUUUUCUCUUUUUCCUUUCUCUUAUUUCUCUCCUCCCCUGUUUCGCUUUUUCCCCUGUUUCUGCC
rnacentral:lncRNA from 1 species